rnacentral:rRNA from 1 species
CGGGGGGAGCAAGCGUUGUUCGGAUUUACUGGGCGUAAAGGGCGCGUAGGCGGCCACCGCAAGUCAGUUGUGAAAUCUCUGGGCUUAACCCAGAAAGGUCAACUGAUACUGCGGGGCUAGAGUGCAGAAGGGGCAACUGGAAUUCUCGGUGUAGCGGUGAAAUGCGUAGCUAUCGAGAGGAACACCUGCGGCGAAGGCGGGUUGCUGGGCUGACACUGACGCUGAGGCGCGAAAGCUAGGGGAGCGAACGGGAUCAGAUACCCCGGUAGUCCUAGCCUUAAACGAUGAAUGCUUGGUGUCUGGGGUUUUAUAGUCCCCGGGUGCCGUCGCUAACGCUUUAAGCAUUCCGCCUGGGGAGUACGGUCGCAAGGCUG